AGGGUGCAGGGCGGAUGCCUUGGCACUAGGAGCCGAUGAAGGACGUGAUAAGCUGCGAUAAGCUUCGGGGAGUUGCACGUAAACUUUGAUCCGAAGAUUUCCGAAUGAGGAAACUCACUUAGAGUAAUGUCUAAGUAUCAUUAAGUGAAUACAUAGCUUAAUGAGGGGAACUCAGGGAACUGAAACAUCUAAGUACCUGAAGGAAGAGAAAGAAAUUCGAUUCCGUAAGUAGCGGCGAGCGAACGCGGAUUAGCCCAAACCAAUAAAGUUUUCUUUAUUGGGGUUGCGGACAUAUCAUAACGAAGAGGUAUCGUAAUUGAAGAGGUUUGGAAAGACCCACCACAGAAGGUAAUAGUCCUGUAUGUUAAACGAGAAGACUUNAGAUAUGAUCCAGAGUACCACGGGACACGUGAAACCCUGUGGGAAGCAGGAGGGACCACCCUCCAAGGCUAAAUACUACCUAGUGACCGAUAGCGUAUAGUACCGUGAGGGAAAGGUGAAAAGAACCCCGGGAGGGGAGUGAAAUAGAACCUGAAACCCUGCACUUACAAGCUGUGGAAGCACAUUUCUUGUGUGACCGCGUACUUUUUGUAGAACGGGCCAACGAGUUACGUUAAGUAGCAAGGUUAAGCACUUAAGGUGCGGAGCCGUAGCGAAAGCGAGUUUUAACUGAGCGUUCAGUUACUUGACGUAGACCCGAAACCGGGCGACCUACCCAUGAGCAGGAUGAAGCGAAAGUAAAAUUUCGUGGAGGUCCGAACCCACGAGCGUUGAAAAGCUCGGGGAUGACUUGUGGGUAGCGGUGAAAUUCCAAUCGAGCCCGGAGAUAGCUGGUUCUCCCCGAAAUAGCUUUAGGGCUAGCCUCAAGGUGAGAGAUACGGAGGUAGAGCACUGAAUGUCCUAGGGGGUAUUGCACCUACCGAAGACUAUCAAACUCCGAAUGCCGUCAUCUUAUACUUGGGAGUCAGACUGUGGGUGAUAAGAUUCAUAGUCGAAAGGGCAACAGCCCAGAUCGUCAGCUAAGGUCCCUAAAUGUAAGUUAAGUGGUAAAGGAUGUGGGAUUGCACAGACAACCAGGAUGUUGGCUUAGAAGCAGCCACUCAUUCAAAGAGUGCGUAAUAGCUCACUGGUCGAGUGAUCCUGCGCCGAAGAUUUCCGGGGCUAAAACUUACUACCGAAGCUACGGCAUCAGUAAUGAUGGGUAGGGGAGCUUCCCAUACGGGUUGAAGCAUGACCGUAAGGACAUGUGGACAGUAUGGGAGUGAGAAUGUUGGCAUGAGUAGCGAGAUGUGGGUGAGAAUCCCACAGGCCGUAAACCCAAGGUUUCCAGGGGAAGGUUCGUCCGCCCUGGGUUAGUCGGGACCUAAGCUGAGGCCGAAAGGCGUAGGUGAUGGACAACAGGUUGAUAUUCCUGUACUACCGAUAACCGUUUGAGAGAAGGGAUGACACAGUAGGAUAAGCUAAGCACACUGUUGGUUAUGUGUGCCCAAGCAUUGAGGCAGUCAAAGUAGGCAAAUCCGCUUUGAUAAUGCUGGGAUGUGAUGGGGAGCGAAAUUUAGUAGCGAAGUAGCUGAUUUCACACUGUCAAGAAAAGUCUCUAUCGAGGUUAAAGGUACCCGUACCGCAAACCGACACAGGUGGGUGAGGAGAGUAUCCUAAGGCCAGCGAGAGAACUGUUGUUAAGGAACUCGGCAAAAUGACCCCGUAACUUAGGGAUAAGGGGUGCCACCAUCAGGUGGCCGCAGAGAAUAGGCCCAAGCGACUGUUUACCAAAAACAUAGGUUUCUGCUAAGUCGCAAGACGAUGUAUAGGAGCUGACGCCUGCCCGGUGCUGGAAGGUUAAGGGGAUCUGUUAGAGCAAUCGAAGCAGUGAACUUAAGCCCCAGUAAACGGCGGCCGUAACUAUAACGGUCCUAAGGUAGCGAAAUUCCUUGUCGGGUAAGUUCCGACCCGCACGAAAGGCGUAACGAUUUGGGCACUGUCUCAACAACAGACUCGGUGAAAUUGUAAUUCCGGUGAAGAUGCCGGAUACCUGCGACAGGACGGAAAGACCCCAUGGAGCUUUACUGUAGCUUGACAUUGGGUCUUGGUACUACAUGUACAGGAUAGGUGGGAGGCUUUGAAACCAGGACGCCAGUUUUGGCGGAGCCAUCCUUGGGAUACCACCCUUGUAGUACUGGGACUCUAACCAUAGGCCAUGAAUCUGGUCUUGGGACACUGUCAGGUGGGCAGUUUGACUGGGGCGGUCGCCUCCCAAAAGGUAACGGAGGCGCUCAAAGGUUCUCUCAGUACGGUCGGAAAUCGUACGUAGAGUGUAAAGGCAAAAGAGAGCUUGAUUGCAAGACAUACAGGUCGAGCAAGGAUGAAAAUCGGACUUAGUGAUCCGGUGGUUCUGCGUGGAAGGGCCAUCGCUCAACGGAUAAAAGCUACCCUGGGGAUAACAGGCUUAUCUCCCCCAAGAGUCCACAUCGACGGGGAGGUUUGGCACCUCGAUGUCGGCUCAUCACAUCCUGGGGCUGUAGUAGGUCCCAAGGGUUGGGCUGUUCGCCCAUUAAAGUGGUACGCGAGCUGGGUUCAGAACGUCGUGAGACAGUUCGGUCCCUAUCCGUCGCAGGCGUAGGAAAUUUGAGAAGACCUGUCCUUAGUACGAGAGGACCGGGAUGGACGUACCUCUGGUGUACCAGUUGUCCUGCCAAGGGCAUGGCUGGGUAGCUAUGUACGGAAUGGAUAAGCGCUGAAAGCAUCUAAGCGCGAAGCCAACUUCAAGAUAAGAUUUCCCACCGCAAGGGUAAGACCCCAGAAAGACUAUCUGGUUGAUAGGUCGAAGGUGUAAGUGCAGCAAUGUAUUUAGCUUAUCGAUACUAAUAGGUCGAGGACUUGACC
rnacentral:rRNA from 1 species